rnacentral:tRNA from 1 species
GCCUGGCUGGCUUAGUCAGUAGAGCAUGAGACUCUUGAUCUCAGGGUUGUGAGUUUGAGCCCCAUGUUGGGUG